UACGGAGGUGGCUAACGUUACUCGGAAUUAUUGGGUGUAAAGGGCAAGUAGGCGGCUUAAUAAGUGGGGGGUGAAAUACUCCGGCUCAAUCGGAGAACUGCCUUCCAAACUGUUAAGCUUGAGUAUGACAGAGGAAAAUGGAAUUCUUGGUGUAAGGGUGAAAUCUGUAGAUAUCAAGAAGAACACCAGCUGCGAAGGCGAUUUUCUGGGUCAUUACUGACGCUAAAUUGCGAAAGCUAGGGGAG
rnacentral:rRNA from 1 species